GGCAGCAUGGAAGCCUGAUGCAGCCAUGCCGCGUGUAUGAAGAAGGCCUUCGGGUUGUAGAAUUUUUCAGCGGGGAGGAAGGGAGUAUUGUUAAUACCUUUGCUCAUUGACGUUACCCGCAGAAGAAGCACCGGCUAUAAUCCGUGCCAGCAGCCGCGGUAAUUA
rnacentral:rRNA from 1 species